rnacentral:rRNA from 1 species
CCCUAGUAACGGCGAGUGAAGCGGGAACAGCUCAAAUUUGAAAUCUGGGCCUUCGGGUCCGAAUUGUAAUUUGCAGAGGAUGCUUUUGGUUAGGUACUUUCCGAGUUCCCUGGAACGGGACGCCUUAGAGGGUGAGAGCCCCGUACGGUUGGAUACCAAGCCUUUGUAAAGCUCCUUCGACGAGUCGAGUAGUUUGGGAAUGCUGCUCUAAAUGGGAGGUAAAUUUCUUCUAAAGCUAAAUAUUGGCCAGAGACCGAUAGCGCACAAGUAGAGUGAUCGAAAGAUGAAAAGCACUUUGAAAAGAGGGUUAAAUAGCACGUGAAAUUGUUGAAAGGGAAGCGUUUAUGACCAGACUUUUUCCAGGCGAAUCAUCCGGUGUUCUCGCCGGUGCACUUCGUCUGGUUGAGGCCAGCAUCGGUUUUCGUGGGGGGAUAAAAGCGGUGGGAAUGUGACUCCUCCGGGAGUGUUAUAGCCCGCCGUAUAAUACCUCCAUGGGGACCGAGGUUCGCGCAUCUGCAAGGAUGCUGGCGUAAUGGUCAUCAACGACCCGUCUUGAAACACGGACCAAGGAGUCGAACAUUUGUGCAAGUGUUUGGGUGUUAAACCCUCACGCGUAAUGAAAGUGAACGGAGGUGAGAGCCCUUACGGGUGCAUCAUCGACCGAUCCUGAUGUUUUCGGAUGGAUUUGAGUAAGAGCAUAACUGUUCGGACCCGAAAGAUGGUGAACUAUGCGUGGAUAGGG